rnacentral:misc_RNA from 1 species
GAUGAAGAACGCAGCGAAAUGCGAUACGUAAUGUGAAUUGCAGAAUUCAGUGAAUCAUCGAAUCUUUGAACGCAUAUUGCGCUCUCUGGUAUUCCGGAGAGCAUGCUUGUUUGAGUAUCAGUAAACACCUCAACUUCCAUAUCUUUUUUGAAAUGGGAGUUGGACUUGAGUGAUCCCAACGCUUUUCCUCACCGAAAAGUGGCGGGUUCCUUGAAAUGCAGGUGCAGCUGGACUUUUCUCUGAGCUAUAAGCAUAUCUAUUUAGUCUGCCUAAAAAACAGAUUAUUACCUUUGCUGCAGCUAACAUAAAGGAGAUUAGUUCUUGUGCUGACUGAUGCAGGAUUCACAAAGACAGGCUUCGGCCGACUUUGUAAACUCGAUCUCAAAUCAAGUAAGACUACCCGCUGAACUUAAGCAUAUCAAUAAGCGGAGGA